AAUCGGAAUUUUCUUUUAAGGUCAUGAAAGCCGCAGUCCCGGUUCGAAGAUUCACAUAGGCUUUGCUCCUCCACCGCCUCCUCCGAAGUCUUCCUACACCUCAGCCCCGUCGCCACCUUCUGCUAGUCCAGCACCUCCCCCUCCCCCUCCUCCACCCCUGCCUCCUCAUUCCGCUGGCCCAGUCGUUUUCCCGCCGCCGCCGCCGCCGCCGCCUCCUCCUCCACCGGUGCCGUCUGGGGGCCCUGCUCCUCCGCCACCGCCCCCUCUGCCCUUCGGGGGGCCCUCCUCCUCUGGCGACCCUCGCUCUGCUCUCUUGCAUCAGAUACAAGAAGGCAAGAACCUCAGGAAGGUAGACAGAAGUGCCGCCCCCGCGCCCCCGACUGACAGCCGCGGCCAGCUUUUGGAAGAUAUUAAGCUGGGCGUGAAGCUCCGCAAGGUGGAGACCGCCGAGGUGAAGGAGGCGGAUCCCAACGAGCCAGUGGGACUCAGCGGAAUGGCGCUGGACCUUCAUCGCGCGCUGCAGGAGAGGUCCAACGUCCUCGCCCUCUCGGACUCGGAGGGAUCCUUAGGGGACGAUGACGACGACGACGAUGACGACUGGGACGACGACUA
rnacentral:lncRNA from 1 species